AGCGAACGCUGGCGGCGUGCCUAACACAUGCAAGUCGAACGUGAAAGGGAGCAAUCCCAAGUAAAGUGGCGUACGGGUGAGUAACACGUAGGUAAUCUACCCCAGAAUCUGGAAUAACCGGCCGAAAGGCUGGCUCAUACUGGAUAGAGCGACGGAAUCCGUAAUUGGGUUUUUCGGGAAAGGGAGCCUGUAAAAAGGCCUUCGUUCUGGGAUGAGCCUGCGUCCCAUCAGCUAGUUGGUGAGGGAAAAGCUUACCAAGGCAAUGACUGGUAGCUGGUCUGAGAGGAGGAUCAGCCACACUGGAAAUGAAGCACGGGCCAGACUCCUACGGGGGGCAGCAGGGGGGAAUCUUGCGGAAUGGACGAAAGUCUGACGCAGCAACGCCGCGGGGGUGAAGGAGGCCUUCGGGUUGUAAAGCUCUGUCGAGUGGGACGAAAAUGCUUGGAAUUCACAGCUCCAGGAACUGACGGUACCACUAAAGGAAGCACCGGCUAACUCCGUG
rnacentral:rRNA from 1 species